rnacentral:lncRNA from 1 species
UACUUUCUUUCUUUCUCUACUUUGAUGCAUGCCAUUCUCUUCCCCACACGAUGCUCAAUCUCAAAAUUCCUCUCACCCACAUCAGCUGCCAUUAGUCACAAGAUGGCCACAGGUCCCCAAAUAGUAUUAGUAAUUUCUGCAACCGAAAUUGAAUCCAAAGGAGAUGAAGCCUCUGAUCGACAGCAGCGUGGGAAUAGUGAGAUUCAGGGUUUUUCCUUGACGGAAGAUUCGCCGA